UACGUAGGGUGCAAGCGUUGUCCGGAAUUAUUGGGCGUAAAGAGUUCGUAGGCGGUUUGUCGCGUCUGCUGUGAAAACUCGGGGCUUAACUCCGGGCCUGCAGUGGGUACGGGCAGACUAGAGUGCGGUAGGGGAGACUGGAAUUCCUGGUGUAGCGGUGAAAUGCGCAGAUAUCAGGAGGAACACCGGUGGCGAAGGUGGGUCUCUGGGCCGUAACUGACGCUGAGGAGCGAAAGCGUGGGGAGCGAACAGG
rnacentral:rRNA from 1 species